rnacentral:lncRNA from 1 species
UUGUUAUAUAUAUGCUAUAGAUAUUUUAUUUCUAAUAAAUGAUUUCUUUGAUAACCUUUUUAAUAAAUUUUUUGGUGAAUGAGUGUUAUGAAAUUUCUGCAAAAAUAUCAUUGGAUAGCAACAGCCAAUUUUCAUAUUUCCAUCAUAGAAAUAUUACUCAUAAAUACAACUGAUCCAACACAAACAACACAUGACAAUUGCUGGAAAUGGAGUAGACGUUACCAGCAUUCAGAUACUACAUUUGUCUUUACAUUUUUUAAAAAUUGUUUCAUACAAUUAAAAUAUUAUCUAAUAUUUUUUGAGUAUGUUAUAAUAAAUUAC